GGAUGUGAGGGCGAUCUGGCUGUGACAUCUGUCACCCCAUUGAUCACCGGGGUUGACUGGCUGAUCUGGCUGGCUAGGCCGGCGUCCCCUUUCUCCCUCACCGCUCCAUGUGCGUUCAGUUGAAGAGGUAGACCUUCCUCCAGUAGAGGAGGACCAGUCUUUGGUCAAGGGUAUAUGAGUAGCUGCGCUCCCCUGCUAGAACCUCCAAACACGCUCUCAAGGUCUUGUUCCUUUUUAAAUAGUGUGUGUGUGUGUGUGUGUGUGUGUUUGAUGUACGUGUGUGUAUGGGUGGGUGUGAACAUGUCAUUUACAC
rnacentral:snRNA from 1 species